rnacentral:ncRNA from 1 species
UUCUUCAGGGCAGGGUGCAAUUCCCUACCGGCGGUAUAGCCCGCGAGCGGUCUGCGCCAGCAGAUGCAGCAGAUUCGGUGACUGUGUGAACAGAACUCCGAAGCCGACAGUAUAGUCUGGAUGAAAGAAGACG